CCUACGGGGGGCAGCAGUGGGGAAUAUUGCACAAUGGGGGGAACCCUGAUGCAGCGACGCCGCGUGAGUGAAGAAGUAUCUCGGUACGUAAAGCUCUGUCAGCAGGGAAGAAAAUGACGGUACCUGACUAAGACGCACCGGCUAACUACGUGCCAACAGCCGCGGUAAUACGUAGGGGGCAGGCGUUAUCCGGAUUUACUGGGUGUAAAGGGAGCGUAGACGGCAGCACAAGUCUGGAGUGAAAUCCCGGGGCUUAACCCCGGAACUGCUUUGGAAACUGUGCGGCUGGAGUGCAGGAGGGGUAAGCGGAAUUCCUAGUGUAGCGGUGAAAUGCGUAGAUAUUAGGAGGAACACCGGUGGCGAAGGCGGCUUACUGGACUGUAACUGACGUUGAGGCUCGAAGGCGUGGGGAGCAAACAGGAUUAGAUACCCUGGUAGUC
rnacentral:rRNA from 1 species